AUGUCUAGAAUGCAUUCGUCUUGUGUAACCGAAGCUUUCACAAGCCGUGAGAUCAUGACCUGAGCGGAAGUCGGACGCUCAACCGACUGAGCCACCCAGGCGCCCCGAAAGAGACAUUUUAAAGUCCAAAGGAAACCAAAACUCAAAGGAGUGUCCUCAAGGAAAACAGCUUUCGAAAUUCAAAGCAUUGGAGCAGUUUGGCAGCCUGGGUUAAUUUUGAUGGAGCAGGAAGCACGUGGGCAGGAAGAACUUGGAGCUGACCCUGACCAGAUGAGCAGAAUCGCAGUGUCUGGGCUGUAGGAAGACAAACUUCAGGGUCCUUGUGUGGAGCCACGCUAUAGCAGUAAGGGCCCUGAGCAGUGUUCAGCCUCAAUUUCUGUUUACAAUCAUGACUUCUGUUUACAUUCAGUAGUGCUCUUACUGAAUGCCCAGGAUGAAUCUAGAUGAUGCCACUCAGAGAAGACCCACUGUGAAGAGCCAUCUCACUCACAGAUACCACAAGAUACUCAUAGAGUUUCUGAAAUACGCACCAAUACCAUUGGGGGGGAGGACAAAACAGCUCUCAGCCUGAAGAUUACAUUGAAAGAGGAAAUCGAAAGCAUUUUGAAGAAAAACUCAGAUCAGACAUGGGGCUGGUCAAGUCGGUCUGAAAAAUCCCCCUCCCCUCCAAAAGACCGUCUCUAAACAUGGAAAGCACUCGGCUUCUCUCAGCAUGAGGAAGGAACACACGUGUUUUGAAGAAAGGGCGGCAUUUUCUCAGCAAAAUUUCUAAACGUUUUUCUUCCGUCUCUGAUACUCUCUCACAUCCCGCUGGCCAUUGGAUGCGGACCUUUGUCAGAAGAUGUCCGAUAACCUCUGUCAGCACCUUUUGAUGAACACUUGGGAUCUGACUUUGCUCAUAAAAAAGUGGAGGUUGUCUGUUAAAGACUGUACUUAACCAGGCUGUUUAUUCUUGGAGAAGCAGGAACUCAAACACCAAGCGGCAAAUGCAAACUCCACAGUAGAGGUUCAUACACUAAAAUGUGUUUGCUUCCACAUAUAAUGACUGAAACUUCCAAUUGUGACUCACUUAAGUAACAGUUAUUUGUUAGUUUUCUGUCUGAGGCAACUGUCCAAUCUGUUUCAGACCUUUCCUCACUGUAGUUGUUGUAUUUAACCGUAUCCUUUGUGCUGGACUUUUUUUUUUGGGGGGGGGGGGGGCUCUUUGAAUCCGUGUUAAUCUGUGUGUACAAUAAAAAACAGGAAAUAGAAAAACACAUACAUCUUUGCCAAAUCCUUCAGAGAUUAGUGUGUUUGCGGAUGGUUUAAAACCAAACUUUAUAAAAGCUUUUGAUUAAACCAGAAGAAAAGGAAUGUAUUUAAAAAUAAACAUCCGUACUUCUCCAGUGCUACUGGGGACCUUCA